UUCAUUAUUUCUCAAUUAUGCUUCUACAUACACACACGGCAAAUAUAUGUCAACAAUCCUUCCUCCAAAGGACUAUUCUAUGGACUACAUUUUGUGAAAAUGCAUAAAAUCAUGGCCUUUUUUGUUUGGGUUUUGUGAGGAAUCACUCAAUAACGUCACACAUGCUUAUCACAGGUUAUUACCUCGGCUCUGACCUUUUCAUUUACGCUGGACGUCACUCUCCUAUCUGCCUGAAUUCUCUGUCAACGAAGCUGUCACUCCUUGGUUUCCUCGUGUUUUGAAACAACUUCAUAUUUGGCAUAUUACUCUCCCCUCCCUUUCCCUUCCCUGCUUAUCCUGUCCCAUUUGAUCGUUUCAGACUUGUGAAAACUUGUGCAAGUUCCUGCAAGUUUGCUAUUUUCUCAUCCGCGUGCCCCAUCGCGCACAUGUUGAUUUUGUCCAUCCACACGAGAGUGGGGUCUCCGCUAGUUUUAAAGUUGCCCAAGUUAUACAGAGAAAUUGGCAUAGUAGGCAAUGCAACCAAUCACAGCCCUCCUAAUUCAGGAGAGCAGUGUCUAAAAAUGAAGCCAUAUCCUCACUAUAGGAGGGGCGGUAAAAGUAAUACUAUCUACUGAAAAUAUUAAAUAUUGACCAUUUAAUGAGGGAAUAAGAGCUUGAAAAUAAAAUAUGGUUGAAAGAAUCAACCGUACAGAGGCUCUGGGAGGUGAUGUCUGGGGACAGGAAAAUCAGCUCUCCAGAUUCAGAGAUGAACUGUACAUGGCAUGUUCUUGAUGGUGACCUGUCCCUUCCUACCGUGGGAGGCUUUGGCUAAGCAGGGCUCAUUUCCUCCACAGUUGCAGCCAUUGGUUAGUUCUCCGGUUUGUUAGUAAUAACGCUUGUUUGUUUGUUUUCCAUGGGGUUUACAGGGAGGGAAUAAGUUCCCACAUCUUAUUCUCUGCCCCUUCUCCAAUCCCCCUCCUCCUCUUUCUUGCCUCCUAGCGCUUCAGCAGAGAUGGAAAACCUGUCCCAGACUCUCAGCAAGAGGGUCACACACACAUUACAUUGAUCCAUGACAACUGGGCAUGGCAUUCUGAUUUCACCUUCCUUAGAGGCCGCUCCAGCAGACACAAUGCUAUAUAAGGCCUUGGAUGCACUGCACUGCAUUGGAUGUACUGUAUGAUUACACAGGAGUGAGGGACAAAGUGCUUGAAGUAAGUGGAGACUGCCAGGUCGGAGGUCUAUUUACGCUAAAUCCUUUUUAAUUUUUCCUUUCUAAGAGGGCCCGGGUUGCUCAACAUGACUUGUCUCCUUGAACCGGAGUCCAACACUAACAUGCCUAUUUAUUGUCUGCUUGUGGUCUGGGGCCAGGAAGUGAGGGGAGAUUUCGGCGUAGAGGGCACAGGACACGUCCUCCCCCUGAACACCCCUCCAGCUUCUACCUCAACAUGGGGUCACGCCCAGGGAGGAAAAACUUCACCCCUUGCCCUUUACUGUCAGAAUGGACCGCUCUCCAGGUGGUGGCUGCAUGACCAGAGCCCUAGGACCAUGCCUCAGGACUACCUGGCCUGAUGACUCCUUGCUGUCCCCAGUCCACCUGGCCGUGCUGCUGCUCCAGCUGUUCUGCCUGUGGCUGUGGAACCCUGACCUGUUCACCGGACAUGCUACCUGUCUCAGACCUGCUGUUUUCAACUCUCUAGAGACAGCAGGAGUGGUAGAGAUACUCUUAAUGAUUGGCUAUGAAAAGCCAACUGACAUUUACUCCUGAGGUGCUGACCUGUUGCAACAUCCACUGUGAUUAUUAUUAUUUGACCAUGCUGGUCAUUUAUGAACAUUUGAACAUCUUGGCCAUGUUCUGUUAUAAUCUCUACCCGGCACAGCCCGAAGAGGACUGGCCACCCCUCAUAGCCUGGUUCUUCUCUAGGUUUCUUCAUUGGUUCUGGCCAUUCUAUGGAGUUUUACCUAGCCACAGUGCUUGUACACCUGCAUUGCUUGCGGUUUGGGGUUUUAGGCUGUGUUUCUGUACAUCACUUUGAGAUAUCAUCUGAUGUAAGAAGGGCUUUAUAAAUACAUUUGAUUUGAUGAUUUAACCAUGUACACAUCAGCAACCACAGCUAAUGAUGUGACUGAAAACCUUAGAAAAGAGUUGCAGUCUGUUUUGGAACGGGUGGCCAGUAAUAAACUGGUCCUUAACAUCUCUAAAUCUAAGAGCAUUGUAUUUGGUACAAAUCAUUCCCUAAAUUCUAUAAUGUAGUAAUGAAUAGUGUGGCUGUUGAACAAGUUGAGGAGACUAAAUUACUUGGUGUUACCUUGGAUUGUAAACUGUCAUGGUCAAAACAUAUAGAUUCAAUGGUUGUAAAGAUGGGCGGGUCUGUCCUUAAAGAGAUGCUCAGCUUUUUUGACACCACACUCCAAAGAAAGUGCUGCAGGCUCUAGUUUUAUAUUAUCUUGAUUAUUGUCCAGUUUUAUGGUCAAGUGCUACAAAUUAAGACCUAGUAAAGAUGCAGCUGACCCAGAACAA